ensembl:lncRNA
CCUGUACCUACAGUACUGAAGUUGGCAUUUGGUUGAAAAGCUACUAGAGUCCGAUGCUGAAAGAUUCUACUGGAACUUCCAGGAGCUGUUAAACAUUGACAUAGUGCAUUUAUCUCCACUUUGGCCAGAAGUAUACGAUCUUCUAGAACUGGAUUUAGGGUACUUGUGGACUACCUGACCUGUAUCCCAAGAACCAAAUGCAGGUCCUCUGCAGAAAUCAUAGACAUUGUGGACUCCAAAGCCAGCUCCCCAGCCUGAACCUAGAAAGUCAGCAAUGUGAAAUCACUUGACCAUCCUAACUUUAUCAAGCUGUUUCACAUGGUCAGACAAGAGAAAACACCUACCAGUUGAAG